UAAGGAAUAUUGGUCAAUGGACGCAAGUCUGAACCAGCCAUGCCGCGUGAAGGAUGAAGGUCCUCUGGAUUGUAAACUUCUUUUAUCUGGGACGAAAACGGGAUUUUUAUCUCAAUUGACGGUACCAGAGGAAUAAGCACCGGCUAACUCCGUGCCAGCAGCCGCGGUAAUACGGAGGGUGCAAGCGUUAUCCGGAUUCACUGGGUUUAAAGGGUGCGUAGGUGGGUAUGUAAGUCAGUGGUGAAAUCCCCGAGCUUAACUUGGGAACUGCCAUUGAUACUAUAUAUCUUGAAUACCGUAGAGGUAAGCGGAAUAUGUCAUGUAGCGGUGAAAUGCUUAGAUAUGACAUGGAACACCAAUUGCGAAGGCAGCUUACUAUGCGGUGAUUGACACGGAGGCACGAAAGCGUGGGUA
rnacentral:rRNA from 1 species